GUUUAUUACAUUGUUUAAAAAUCAAAUGUGUCUAAGAAUGGCUUUUCAUAUAUUGCUGUUUCUUUAUUUUGGGGGAUUACUUACGUAUAGCCUGUUUGUGGCAAACUGAUGUAGUGGUGUAAUUUGCCAGAAUACCCAGAGCUGAAAAGACUCAAAUUUCUGUUUUUUUGUAACUGUUAUUUUGGUCUAUUCUUUUGCAAAUCAGUUCUUGACAGAAU